rnacentral:rRNA from 1 species
GCCGUGGGCGCUGGAGAAUUGAGGGGGGCUGCUCCUAGUACGAGAGGACCGGAGUGGACGCAUCACUGGUGUUCGGGUUGUCAUGCCAAUGGCACUGCCCGGUAGCUAAAUGCGGAAAAGAUAAGUGCUGAAAGCAUCUAAGCACGAAACUUGCCCCGAGAUGAGUUCUCCCUGAGACUUUAAGUCUCCUGAAGGAACGUUGAAGACGACRACGUUGAUAGGUCGGGUGUGUAAGCGCAGCGAUGCGUUGAGCUAACCGAUACUAAUGAACCGUGAGGCUUAACCUU